rnacentral:rRNA from 1 species
GCUAACUACGUGCCAGCAGCCGCGGUAAUACGUAGGUGGCAAGCGUUGUCCGGAAUUAUUGGGCGUAAAGCGCGCGCAGGUGGUUCCUUAAGUCUGAUGUGAAAGCCCCCGGCUCAACCGGGGAGGGUCAUUGGAAACUGGGGAACUUGAGUGCAGAAGAGGAUAGUGGAAUUCCAAGUGUAGCGGUGAAAUGCGUAGAGAUUUGGAGGAACACCAGUGGCGAAGGCGACUGUCUGGUCUGUAACUGACACUGAGGCGCGAAAGCGUGGGGAGCAAACAGGAUUAGAUACCCUUGUAGUC